rnacentral:rRNA from 1 species
UAACAGGAAAUUUAAGGGCGUACGGUGGAUGCCUAGACUAAAAGUAGCGAUGAAGGACGUGGCGUAGCUGCGAUAAGCUUCGGGGAGGUGUGUAGCAACCUUUGAUCCGGAGAUUUCCGAAUGGGGAAACCCUAUCUCGUAACCCGAGAUAACUUCAGGCGUAAGCUUGAAGAGCGCACCCUGGGAAGUGAAACAUCUCAGUACCAGGUGGAAAAGAAGCAAAUAUGUAUUUCCUAAGUAGCGGCGAGCGAAAGGGAAGAAGCCCAAACCAAGCACCAUUUUCACGGGAUAAUUUAUUGUCCGGUGAAUGAUGUUGCUUGGGGUUGUAAGAUAACAACGUAGUUUACUAGAGGAGUCAAAAAUUGAAUUGUUAGUUUAAUUUGCUGGAAAGCAAAACCAUAGAGGGUGAUAGUCCCGUGGACGAAAACAAUACAACUCUUUUGUUGUUACUCUUGAGUACCCCAGGACAUGAAUGGCCGGGGGGAAUCCGCCAGAACUAACUGGCAAGGCUAAAUAUACUUUUAGAUCGAUAGUGAACUAGUACCGUGAGGGAAAGGUGAAAAGCAGCCCGAUUAGGGCGGUGAAAUAGACCUGAAACCGUAUGUCUACAAGGAGUCGAACCGGGGAUUUAUCUCCGGAACGGCGUGCCUAUUGAAGAAUGAGCCAACGAGUUUAUGCAUGCUGCUCGGCGAAGUGGGCUAAAACCACAGAGCCUUAGGGAAACCGAGUGUUAAUAGCGCGUAAUUGGUAGUAUGCAUAAGACCCGAAGCCAGGUGAGCUUGCCAUGAGCAGGUUGAAGUAGGUCGAAAGAUCUAUGGAGGACCGAACCGGUAGAUCGUACAACGUCUUCGGAUGACUUGUGGUAAGGAGUGAAAAGCUAAUCGAACCUGGUAAUAGCUGGUUCUCUCCGAAAUAGCUUUAGGGCUAGCGUCGCGUGUUUCUUCUGGGGGUAGAGCACUGGAAGGUUUCGACAGGGAGCAAUCUCGCGAAACCUAUCAAACUCCGAAUACCAGAAGCCAGAAUGCGGCAGUUAGGCCAUGGGGGCGAAGCUCCAUCGGCCAAAAGGGAAACAGCCCGGAUCUCUAAAUAAGGUCCCUAAAUAUAUACUAAGUGUAAAACAAGAAGGUGGAGUUUCUUUAACAAUGAGGAGGUUGGCUUAGAAGCAGCCACCCUUUAAAGAUAGCGUAACAGCUCACUCAUCUAGAGAUUCUGCGUCGAAAAUAAUUGGGGCUAAGUAUAUUACCGAAUUUGAGGACUUCAUAGAUUCUUCGGAAUGUAUGGAGUGGUAGGAGAGUGUUCCACUCUGCUGUGAAGGAGGACCCGUGAGGGCCUCUGGAGUGUGUGGAAGCAAAAAUGUUGGCACAAGUAACCGCAAUGAUGCUGAGAACGCAUCACGUCGAAAGAUCAAGGUUUCCUUGGUAAUGUCAAUCAGCCAAGGGUUAGUCGGGCCUAAGGGAAUGGCGAAAGCCGUACUCGAUGGACACAGGGUUAAUAUUCCCUGACUUCUGUAUUUAGUGAUGGGAGGACGGAGUGUAGUAUGUAUUGCCGAUUAUUGGAUUUCAGGUUUGUAUUCUGAUUGCGCGGCAUAGGAAAAUCCGUGUGCUGCCUUAAAUGGCGAGCGAAAGGGAUAUGAAAAGUUUCAGGCUACGGCCUGGGGCGAUAAUACAAAGCACGCUUCCAAGAAAAAUCUCUAAACUUAUAAAUAUAGGAUCCGUACCGCAAACCGACACAGGUGAUCAGGUCGAGUAGACCAAGACGAACGAGUGAGUGGUCCCCAAGGAACUCGGCAAAAAAUCAGCCGUAACUUCGGGAUAAGGCUUGCCCUCUGUUAAUUCAGAGGGCCGCAGCGAAAGUAUUCCUGCCAACUGUUUACCAAAAACACAGCUCCCUGCGAACUCGCAAGAGGAUGUAUAGGGGGUGACACCUGACCAAUGCCAGAAGGUCAAACAACGCCGUUGUGAGUAGCAAUAUUUAUGGUGAGUGUUGUAAGCCCUGGUGAAUGUCGGCCGUAACUAUAACGGUCCUAAGGUUCUGUGCACAACGCAAGUUAUGCGCGGAAUGACUGGG